UGGGGAAUAUUGGGCAAUGGGCGAAAGCCUGACCCAGCAACGCCGCGUGAGGGAAGAAGGUUUUCGGAUUGUAAACCUCUGUCCUUGGUGACGAAGGAAGUGACGGUAGCCAAGGAGGAAGCCCCGGCUAACUACGUGCCAGCAGCCGCGGUAAUACGUAGGGGGCAAGCGUUGUCCGGAAUGACUGGGCGUAAAGGGCGUGUAGGCGGCCUGAUAAGUGUGAAGUGAAAGUCCUGCUUUUAAGGUGGGAAUUGCUUUGCAGACUGUCGGGCUUGAGUGCGGAAGAGGUAAGUGGAAUUCCCAGUGUAGCGGUGAAAUGCGUAGAGAUUGGGAGGAACACCAGUGGCGAAGGCGACUUACUGGGCCGUAACUGACGCUGAGGCGCGAAAGCGUGGGGAGCGAACAGGAUUAGAUACCC
rnacentral:rRNA from 1 species